GGAAGUGGUAAAAGCAGAGAUUCUUGCUCAUUCCUGCUUGCUAAAGGAUCUGCUUUUUCAAUUUCACCAUUAAGUGUGAUAUUUGCUGUAAGGUUAGUUUUUUUUUUUUUUUUUCUUUGUACACUGAUGUUCUUUAUCCAGUUCAAAAAAUUCCAUUCUAUUCCUGAUAUGUUGACUCUUUAUCCUAAGUUGACGUUGGAUUAUAUCAAACAGUUUUCUGCUUCUACUGAGAGAAUUUUUGUGAAAAUUCAUGUGAGUUUUUUCACUGAAUCUGUGAACAUGGUCUAAUUUUAACAAAAUUCCACCAGAAGGAAAGAAUUUGGAUGCCCACACAGUUUAUUAGAAUGGGAUUUGGCAUCUGGGACAAGUUCGCGAGGCUCAGCACGUCAGAUAAAGACAUGAACAUUGUCAAAUGGGUCAGUGGCAGUGGUUGCCUGAUAUGUGAGCUGCAGUUGCAUUAGGAAGAAUGGAGAAGGAAACAAAAUCGCCUGAGCCAUGGGAACCAGGCAUUUGUGAGCCCCAAGAAGUCUGUUUCCUGUUCUGGAGGAGGGGAGCUGUCCUGUGGAGGAGUUGUGAAGGAGGAAGUUGUGGAAGUGAGGGGUAGACCUCCAAUCCCACACCCUCACAAAGGUCAGACUUUAAUUAUUUUAUUGUAUCUUUUACAAAAACUGGAACCAGACAGAAUGAGAACAAGCCACAGAAACUCAAUCUUGGCUCCUCUCAGGCAACUGAGCCCCAAACCACAACCCUAAAGUCUAUUUGCUAUUGAACAGGAGAUUCAAGGACCAAAAAGCACUGGCACAUCGAGUGGGCUCGUUGGCUCAGUUGCCGAAUUGGAGACUUGGGGACAUUUGCCAACAGCCUGCUCCGGAACACUCUGUCCCUGCCCAAAUCAACUGCAGUAAUUAGCUUUGGUCAUUAGUUUCAAGUAAAUAAUCUCCUUGUCACAGCUGGGAUCCUUUAUCAGAACGGCGGACAUGAGGGUUUGCAGAAGCAAAUGAUUUUUCUUCCCCUCUGAAUUCCCCGGAACACUAAGUCAUGACCCAGAGAUCUGAAUAAGGCAUAGAAACUCCCAAAGAUGCCUAAAAUUUGGAGGAAUAGCUCUGCCUAAAGGGCGGAAUCACCGGGUAUUAACAACAAAUGUAAAACAACAACAAAACUUUUGAAAUGGUUAUUGAUCUUUUCUUCGACUCAAAGCUCAAGUUCAGAUCAACAAACUUGCUGAAGUAUGUGCUGUAUACAUGCCAGGAAAUGUACUUGCUACAUGCCAGGCUCCCAAGGAGCCUAGGAGGAGACUGACAAGGAAACUGGUAAUAAAUGCACUGGUGAUAUACUCUGAUAGCAGAACGCAGAGAGGGAGGGCACCCUAACCCAGCCUGCUUCUUCAGGGAAGACUUCCUGGACAUGUGACUCCAACACUGAUUUAAGAAGGGAAGUAGCCAUCAGGAGCACUUCUGCAAGACUCACAUAGGAGGGAGGCAUGGGGUUGAUUCUGAGCCUUCUGAAACAACUGGCAAAACACAUGUUCUCAACCUUCUAUGCCUUGGUAUCCCAUCAUUAUGGGGCUUCCCAGAUAGUGGGUUAAAAAAAACCCGCUGUCAAUGCAAGAGACAUAAGAGACUCAGGUUCGAUCUCUGGAUCAGGGAGAUCCCCUGGAGGAGGGCAUGGCAACCCAUUCCAGUAUUCCUGCCUGGAGAAUCCCAUGGACUGAGGAGCCUGGUGGUCUACAGUCCAUGGGGUUGCAGAGUCAGACACGACUGAAAUGACUUAGCAAGCACACAUGCAUGCAUCCCAUCAUUAUGCCCAUUUCAGAGAAGGAGGAAGUGAAAAGAGAGACUUCAGCUCUGUCCUUGGAUUGCCUGUGGGGAUGGAGUUAGAGGCACAGUGCUGGUCGGACCCCCACCAGCCUCAGGAGUGCCCAUGGUGGCAGA
ensembl:lncRNA